UUCUUGAACGCCACGGAACGCGCACGUCCUCGGGCAAUCGCGCUACGUCUCACAAUCGCCGACGAUACGUCCAUCUGGGAUCAGAUAAGACGAAACUCCUUGGCCACAGGUUGCGUUUCACCGUGCGCAUCUUGUAACGCGGCGAAGGAAAUCGAUUUUUCAGCCGCGAUCGCCGUCGAUUGCAGCUUAUCGCGCCUCAUAGAAAUAGUUCUUAGGCUUCGACAACAAUAAAGACAAACGAAAUAGUGGAAUAUCAGAAGGAAAAGAAAAGUAACGGAACGCUAUAGGAAAAAGAAAAUAUUGAAUCGAGGGAACUGAGGGAGACAGAGUUUUAGAAACUUCUCAGAAAACUAACGUUUAUCUUUCAAUAUGUGGUGGCACUCGACCACAAAACAUUGAACAAAUCGCGACAUAAUAAUACCGCUUGGAGUUCAAAUCGAACGAAGCGAGUAACGAAAACAUAACAAACAAAUACGUCAUACGCUCGGGUAGGAGAGUCCAAUUUCCUGAUCGACUACAAACAGGUUUCGGAUAACCGCUAGUGUGACGAAGGAGACACAAGAAAUCACGAAAAUGAUACAUCACCGGUGAUCUUGUCACGACCGGCAUACUUCAAAUCCGAUGGACUGACGAUGGAGAUAAAGAUGUGGCGGCACUCGGCGACGUGGCAACGGUCGCGGACGCCUAGCAAAUGUAUGGACGGUGGGGAUGUUGAGGGAUGACAAAAGAAAGUAAUCGGAUCCGAUCGAAAGUCAAAUUGUAAGAGCUUCAGUCUUGGAAAGUCACGCCUAGAGUUCGGAAGUGGAUUGUAAAGUGGAUUGUUGUUAGAAAAAAAAUAGUUUCUUUUUUUUAUUUUUCACCUCAAAUUUCUUUUUUUUAUUUUGUUAUUUUACGUGACAAUCUCCUCGCGUCGCAGUUCGAACGUUUCAUAAAUAAGGUGAAGAAAUUGAACUUUAUAUAUGGUAAUAGAAUUUAUUAUGCGAAUGCAACAGAUUGACGGUUCAAAGUGUUACAACAGAAAGGCAUCGAGCGCUGAUUUGAGAGGAUUUUUAUACUGAGGUUCUAGUCCUCCUGGAGGGACUAUCGUCGGGUGUAUAUCAGAGGCGGCUAUUCCGUUACUAUCUGGUUAUUGUUUCGAUAGCUGUGACAUGCAGGAUGUUUAGUCUACCCUGUGGCGGCACUCGACCACGGAACUUUCCAACAGCUUCGCCACACAAAGUGCUAUAGUUUCAAAGCGUAAGGCCGACAUGCCUAAUAAGCCAUCGAUAUCCUUACGGUCCUUCCACCGAAUUUUUAGAAGAAAGCGUACGCGGCAACGGUCGCGGAAUGCGUAGUGGGCAUAUUGAGGUGCGAUAAAGAAACGAACGAGAUCAAAGAGACAUUUAGUUUUGAACAGCAAAGUCAAGUCUUAACAGCGAAGCAAACAUAGUUGAAAAGCGAGAAACUCAUUGGUAAUCGAGGAUUGUUGAUUGUUGAUUGUUGGGUGUUAAAUAAAUUAUAUUGUGAACAGUAGAGUAUUCCUUGGGCACCUUAUGCCAAACACCACCUCAAGUAUAUAAUGUCACCAAUUCGUAUAUUCUCGUAUGUCAGAAUAAAACACAAUUUUAUUCUUCUUUUUAUUCGUCACUUUACUCUACGCGUUAAACCCUAAAGCGUGGAGAACAGAAAAUAAAAACCAUUAUUUUUUGGACGUACAUUUCUAACAACUACCGUACAAUUCAGAAGAUUUUGAUUCGUAUGCGACAUAGACUGUGAUGAAGAACACACAGGAGCAUGCGAGAAAAUCUACUUUUCUUCAGUGGGUCUUUCAAAUAAUAACACACAUAGGCUCACACCAGCCAAAAAAUUUUACCAAAUGUCCAAAUCGGACAAAUUGUGAAUGUAAACAACUAAAUAAAAAAAAAAAAAAAACAUAGGCUCACGAUGGUAUUUGAACAAUUGAACACUCGAGGAAGCUUAUUCAUGCGCGAUACAAGACAUUUUGCACGCGUAUGGCACGAUACAAUUAUCGUGAAAUAUUAGAAACGACUGGUCGAAUUAUUUAUGUGGGAUGGUGUGACGUUAGCGAAAGACGUGGCUGAUUGUUUAUAAACGUUGUUAAGAUAUGUUAAUGUUGUCAAGGAGUGUUGUGAGCGUUACCAAGGUUUGUUACAGUAAUGGUAAUGGUCAGAGUUGAAUUAAUCGUGAUUGAGAGAAGUUCAUCGUGUUGCUGUGACGUAGAAAUAGUGUUAAGCGAAUUCGUGAAGUGCGAUAUUAUAUUCAAUUUUAUGAGAGUGUUACAAUAUUGUGUUUAUCAUACUGUCUUUUCUGUUAAUUUAUAAUAAACAUUCCUACAUUUAUUUUACAAGUUCGACCAUUUACGAAAAAUUCUAUAAUUAUACCAGCUAAUUUGAUAACACAGCGCAAAGUCGAUCUGUUGCCGAUUUGCUAAUGGACGUAUUACUAGACUAAUAUUACACGUUUUAUCGCACCGCGUGUGACGUUUAAAUCGAAAACAUGUAAAAGUUGUUAAACACGUAACGACUUGAAACAUUAAUCGCGAAAGAGAAGUGAAUGGUUUGAUUGGUUGAAUCAGCACUUUACAGGAACUCUACUUCACGCUUCCGAAAGAGGAUCAUCUGGACAGUGUGCAAGAUGAGUUUGAAGCAAUUGGAUCGUUACUUCUCACAUCAAGAGAAGCUACAAAAUGAGUGUCAGCGAGAAGCAUUUGCGGUAUUGUAUACUAUGCGAGUUUAAAAGGGGCACCACAACUAUGGAUACUGUUAAGAAUAUUUGUCAAGUAUACGGCGAACAUGUACUGAAUGUGAGGAAGUGUCAGGGAUGAUUCUCAAAAUUUCGGAAUGGUGUUUUCGACCUUGUUGACGAGGCCAGGUCUGGUCGAAGAGUAACCUUCGAUGUCGAAGCAUUGAUAGUUGUAAUUGAAGCAGAACUUCACUUGACUACUGAAGAAAUAGCAAACAUAGUAGUAGCAGUAGUAUCGUACAUCGAUAUUUGCAUCAGAUUGGAGAAACUUCCAAUGAACGAUCAACGGUGAUAUUCUCUUUGGCAGAUGAAUAAAUCCAUUCUAUAUUCUAUUCAUCGGAUGAAUGAAUUAUGAAAUGACAGAAAAAGAUGUGUUCAUAACAGUUUCCAGGAAACAGCUUGAAACGAUUUAUACGGACCAUCAACUGCUUUCGAGCGUAUCAUUAAUUUCAAGCAUCAGGAAUUCAACUUUAAUUUAAUGAACGAAGAUCUGCAGGACGCACCAUUAAUUUUACGGAAGCUUCGACAGCGUCCGGAUGCAAAAAAUAUGACGCUUCCUACUUGAGUUUCACUUACUCUCAUAAGUGAAUGUAGCUUUUAACAUUUGUAACAGACAUUAUAUGUACGUACAGAAAAAUUAGAAGAUAUUUUAUUGGAUCACCACUUUUCUCUUAAUACAAUUCAUAAGCUAUCAAAUACACGAAAGAUGCAGUUUGGAAAAACUUAUUCGGCACGUGCUAGCUUCCAGAAAGUUAGUUCUUAGUGAGUCGUAAUGUGGGUAGGAGCUGGUUGAGACACGACCAGUAGUCAAGUAGCAAGUAAAGCCGAAUUUAUACUGUCUCGCUGUGAAUGAUGCAUCGAAAAACGUUGCUUUCAUCCUCGUUUACGGUGUAAAUUUGGCUUUACUGAACUACUAGCCGUAUCCGAGCCAACCUUAAAGCCUAGAAAACUAAGGUCAGCACUUCGUCACCUAAAUAUCGUAUGCAGUGAGGGACAAAAUCCGCACAGUUGCUUUACUGUACCAUAGAAAAUGAAAGUGAGAUAUUUUAUUAUAUACAUUCAAUACAUUCAACACGAUUAAAUAUAUUCAAAUAUACGUAAAUGUAGAUUGUAUAGAUAUUUGUAAUACUCAUAUGUAUAUAUGUAUUUAUUACAUAUAUUCAAUAUAUUCGAUACGAUUAAAUAUAUUCAAAUAAACGUAAAUGUAGAUUGUAUAGAUAUUUAUAAUACUUAUAAUGCUUAUAUAUAUUACGUUAUUAUUAUUAUAUAUUAUUACUUAUAAUAAAUGUACACAAACAAAGGUUGAUCCAUACCACACGAGUAUAUACAAUAUAACAUCGUUACAAUUCUUGUUCUACAAACCUUGUGUCAUUAUAAAUUACCGAGUGAUUUAAUUGACAUUUGUUUGUCUACACUUAACAGUGUUAAGUGUCUGUGUAUAGUAUAAAGUUAUACAUAUUUGAAUAGUAUAAAAAAUAAUUCUCUUUUAGUUAUAUGUCUA